GAUGUAUGCUGCAACUUUUUGGGAAAUGUCAAGACUAAGAAGUUGGGUGAAGGGAAUAGGUCUGCCUGGCUCCCUGAAUGCCAUCUAAGAAGCUUUUGUCAAAAUCGACUGACAUUGUUCCUAGUUGGCGUUUGGGGAGCCAUGCAGUUCUUCCAGAACCAAUUGACCAGUCAGUCAAUCCCCUCUUAUCAGAUGAAGGACAUGCGUGCAGUCCACCUACGUGGUGGUUGGGCUGCUUCUUGGUCUUGAAUCUCUUGAUGCAAGCUGAUGAUGUGGGAGUUGGCCUGCCUGAGUUGACAUGGGCUUUUGUUGUGGGCUGAACUUGUCAGUAAGGUUAUCACUUAGAUGUUGUGGACAGCUCCUGGAGUAUGUAAUAUUAUUGGCCACAUCAAAUAUCUGAUCCUUCAGCUCUGCAAAUCGAUUAUGCAGAGACCCUACCUUUUCCAAUGAGAGGAAAAUCCAAAGUUGAAACUGAUCUACCUGGAAAGCAAAA